rnacentral:rRNA from 1 species
CACUCCUGCGGGAGGCAGCAGUGGGGAAUUUUACGCCAUGGGGGAAACCCUGACGUAGCGACACCGCGUGAGCGAAGAAGCCCUUUGGGGUGUAAAGCUCUGUCAGCUGGAACGAAAACAAUGACGGUACCAGCAGAGGAAGCAUCGGCUAACUACGUGCCAGCAGCCGCGGUAAGACGUAGGAUGCGAGCGUUGUCCGGAUUUAUUGGGCGUAAAGAGUUCGUAGGUGGUUUGUUAAGUUUGGUGUUAAAGAUCGGGGCUCAACCCUGGGACUGCACUGAAUACUGGCAGACUCGAGUGUGGUAGAGGCUAGUGGAAUUCCCAGUGUAGCGGUGAAAUGCGUAGAUAUUGGGAAGAACACCGGUGGCGUAGGCGACUAGCUGGGCCAUAACUGACGCUGAGGAACGAAAGCCAGGGGAGCGAAUGGGAUUAGAAACCCGUGUAGUCCC